GUAUCAGUAAGCGGAGGAAAAGAAACUAACUAGGAUAGCCCCAGUAAUGGCGAAUGAACAGGCUAAAGCUCAAAGUGAAAAUCUGGAAACAGAAUUGUAAUCUAAAGAGUUAACCCAAAGCUAAGCUCCUCGCAUAAGUUCCUUGGAACAGGACGUCAAAGAGGGUGACAACCCCGUAGUCGGUGAGGAAUGCUGGUGAAGGGAAGGCUUCAAAGAGUCGGGUUGUUUGGGAUUGCAGCCCUAAGUGGGAGAUAAACUUCUUCUAGAGCUAAAUAUACACGGGAGACCGAUAGCGCACAAGUA
rnacentral:rRNA from 1 species